UACGUAGGGGGCAAGCGUUGUCCGGAAUUAUUGGGCGUAAAGCGCGCGCAGGCGGUCAUGUAAGUCUGGUGUUUAAUCCCGGGGCUCAACCCCGGAUCGCACUGGAAACUGUAUGACUUGAGUGCAGAAGAGGAGAGUGGAAUUCCACGUGUAGCGGUGAAAUGCGUAGAGAUGUGGAGGAACACCAGUGGCGAAGGCGACUCUCUGGGCUGUAACUGACGCUGAGGCGCGAAAGCGUGGGGAGCAAACAGG
rnacentral:rRNA from 1 species